GCCGCUGAGUCUGGAGCUCACUGAUUUGGUGACUGGCUGCCCCUCCCCUUCAAUCCAGGUGUUCAGCUAUAUCUUAACACAUGGGUUAGAGGUGUCUGAAUAUCUGCCCAGAUGUGUGCAAGUAACUGCAGAGACCAGAAGAUGGUGUUAGAACCCUCAAUGGUGCAUUCUGCAAUGCUAACACUGGAAGUGGCUGCCAAGAGACAUUUCUUUGAUUUUCCUCUUUCUGAAAGCCUUGAAGACUGUAGGCCAGAGAAGCCCCUCCUAUGCCUAUUCUAAUUAUUCAAAUCAGC